AAGGCCUGAUGUGUGUGAGAUUACCCGCUGAAUUUAAGCAUAUAAGUAAGCGGAGGAAAAGAAACUAACUAGGAUUCCCUUAGUAAUGGCGAAUGAACAGGGAUCAGCUCAGUGCCAAAUCGGAAUCACUUGUGGUUCUGAAAUGUGGCUUGAAGGCAGUACCAGUGGCAUCGCGGACGAAAGUCUCUUGGAAAAGAGCGUCAUAGAGGGUGAGAAUCCCGUGAGUCGUUCGCCGUUUGUCACGUACGGUCUGCGUUCUAACGAGUCGCGUUCCUUGGGAUUGGAGCGUAAACGGGUGGUAAAUUUCAUCCAAAGCAAAAUAUAUACUCGAGACCGAUAGCACAAAAGUACCGUGAGGGAAAGGUGAAAAGAACUUUGAGAAGAGGGUUAAAUAGUGCCUGAAAUCGUUGAGAAGGAAGCGGAUGCCGCCGUUGCAUAUGCUGAUUGUAGGAUUGCUGCUCGCUCCUGUCUUCUGCUACUCAUUCACAGACCUGGUCGUGUUGAGCAGUUGUUUGGCAGAUGUUAGUGGUGUUUCCUACUUUCAGUCGUCAGCAUCACUGGCUGAGUGGAAAUAAUCCUUGGAUGCUAAUUGGUUCGCUAUCUGUGAAUUGGUUGCUUCCUUGCGAUACUCACUACUCGGUCAGUGAGGAAGUGCGUUUGCUGGUCAACGAGCUUUCUAACUGUCAUUACCCUGCGCUUUUCGAUUCGUCGAGUGGCCAGGAUGUGGCUUUGAGAUUGUUCGCACUUAGUAAUCGCGAUGCUGGCUUCCAACGGUUGCCUCCGGCCCGUCUUGAACACGGACAAGGAGUCUACGUAUGUGCGAGUGUGUGAGUGGCAACUUAUACGCGUAAUGAAAGUGAAGCCGUAUGGGCAUGUUGGGGUCACCAACACCCGACCUUG
rnacentral:ncRNA from 1 species